GACGUAGGGUGCAAGCGUUGUCCGGAUUUAUUGGACGUAAAGAGCUCGUAGGCGGCUUGUUGCGUCGACUGUGAAAACCCGCGGCUUAACCGCGGGCUUGCAGUUGAUACGGGCAGGCUAGAGUUCGGUAGGGGAGACUGGAAUUCCUGGUGUAGCGGUGAAAUGCGCAGAUAUCAGGAGGAACACCGGUGGCGAAGGCGGGUCUCUGGGCCACUACUGACGCUGAGGAGCGAAAGCGUGGGGAGCAAACAGG
rnacentral:rRNA from 1 species